rnacentral:rRNA from 1 species
UGCCAGCCGCCGCGGUAAUACGGAGGGUGCAAGCGUUGUUCGGAAUUAUUGGGCGUAAAGCGCGUGUAGGCGGUUCGUUAAGUCUGAUGUGAAAGCCCGGGGCUCAACCCCGGAAGUGCAUUGGAAACUGGCGAACUUGAGUACGGGAGAGGAAAGUGGAAUUCCGAGUGUAGGGGUGAAAUGCGUAGAUAUCUGAAGGAACACCAGUGGCGAAGGCGACUUUCUGGCCUAUUCUUGACGCUGAGGCGCGAAAGCUAGGGGAGCGAACGGGAUUAGAUA